GUUUUCGAGAGACGGAAGUCUUGCACAAGAAAUUUAAAAAAACAGGUCGGUGGGACUUUCGUCCGUGUGUGAU
rnacentral:pre_miRNA from 1 species